UACGUAGGUGACCAGCGUUGUCCGGAUUUACUGGGCGUAAAGAGCGCGCAGGCGGUCGUUCAAGUCGAGUGUGAAAGCCCCCGGCUCAACUGGGGAGGGUCAUUGGAAACUGGAGAACUUGAGUACAGAAGAGGAAAGCGGAAUUCCACGUGUAGCGGUGAAAUGCGUAGAGAUGUGGAGGAACACCAGUGGCGAAGGCGGCUUUCUGGUCUGUAACUGACGCUGAGGCGCGAAAGCGUGGGGAGCAAACAGG
rnacentral:rRNA from 1 species